GAAGAAGUCUGGGCCGGCUGCCCAGCUUUAUCCAGUUUCCUGGUUCACUCCCAAGCACGCGAUCCCAAACUUGACCCCACCAACGGAUCCCCCUCCCUCGACCCGGUCUUCCAACACCCUGACCCACGCUGUUCACUGCCGGAGAAACGGGGCUGCUCCGCCUAAUUCCACUGGCCUCGCAGCUGCCCUCCCCCCCUACAGCCCAACACACCCCAGGACCAGCGAGCCACCCCGGCUGUCAGGGCCCGGCCUUGCGGGCUUGGCUGGUGGUAACUCUCUCCCUCUCCGAUUUCUCUCGGAUUUCCUUCGGCCUCUCCCGGGCAGCCCCGGGUGGGUGAGGCAGAGCAAACCUAAGCAAACUGAAGCGGAGAAGUCCUCCACCCCGCCAACCCCUACCCCCCGGUGGCUGAGCUCAGACCCGUGGACUAAGCCCUCCAAGCCUGUUCUCAAAUUCGCAGAAUGAAGGCAGCUGUCUCCUGGGAUGGUAGACAGGGGUUACUGAGGGAGGGCACUACCUGGUGCAUGGUGAGCACUCUGUGUCCCUCAGCGGCGCUCCCUUCACCCCAGGGUUCCCUCUCAUCUCACUGUCGGGGACCUUUACCCAUCCAGCCCAAACCGGGGAAGAAAACCAAAUCUAGUUUUCUACCCUGUGGUCCCUUCCAGAUGGGUUCCCCAGCUGCCUACUAUGGCUCUGCCACCAACAGUGUGUGUGUGUGUGUGUGUGUGUGUGUGUGUGUGUGACAGCCCCCCCCCCCAAGCCUUGGUGAGCUCCUCCGUUAUUCAGUGAGUGAAAAAUGCUUGCCCUCACGUAGGGAAGAGGUGGCAUGAAGAUUCAGUAGACGUGUCUGUAAAGAUGCUUGUCUUAGUUGAAAUAGGGUUUCAUUUAGCCCAGGCUGGCCUCAAACUCAUUAGCUGAGGCUGGCCUUGUAUUUCUGAUCCUCCCGCCUCCUACAUGCUGGGAUUACAGCACAUAAUCCCCACCACACCCAGCUCUAGAUAUUCGGAUGCAUCCAUUGGGACUGACCCAGAGCUGGCUACCACAUUCUGCAGCUAAGGAAAAAGCCACAGGACACUGCAUGCUGGGAGGCAGAGCACAAAGAACUCGGAUUCCUGGUUACUGGACAAAGCCCCUGAGGAGCAGCUGGAGGUGUCCCCACUGCUAGAGGCCCGCUUCCCUCUGUUCUGGUGGAAGCUCUUGGCACCCUGGCAUCCAUAUUCCCAAAGAGUCUGGAAUGUUCUAGUGGAAGCCCUACCUCUCUGCCCAGACCCAGCUCCUCCCCCCAGAGAUGCUCAAGACCACUCGUAUAGAGUAUUUAAACUGCACCCCAGAAAACAGACACAUUUUUUUUGGUUUCUCCCAUCUCCUCUCUAGGGGCCCAGAGAAUCACCCAGGAGUGUUUUACCCA